GGCCUCGUUUGCAUAACUGCUGCUGCUGCUCCUGCCGCUGCGCCUGCCGCCGCCUCCCCUCCAAUCCCAGCCGCCAUCUUCCGCCUCCUCCCGCCGCGCCGCCGGGAUUGCAGCGCCCAGGCAAGCGAAAAAACAGGUUCAAACCCAAAUGGGAUUAUUCUGUCUACUCUGGGGCUGAAGCACUGUAGAAAGAUGGCCUAAACAACAAAUGAUGGAUAGCUGCACUGAGAAAGAGCAGACCUUUCAAACAGGUAAAAACAACAGAUGGAGCUUAGAAGAUCAACCAUCCCCCUGGCUGCCAACACACCAGCCAGAAGAGCCCUGCAAAGCAACUGAGAAAAAUAUCUCUGGAGGAGGACCGGCUGCCCCACACAGCCAUGGCUUGCAGGAAUGCUGAAAGGAAAUGAAAGACGCACUUAGUGCAGUGAAACGUUACCAUAUAGAGCCGGGCAUCUUAAGAACAUUGGCAACAGAAGCUGGGUCACAUGGAUUUCUUGCCUGUGGAAGAAGGCAAAAGGAAUGAAGUUCGUUAUGAAAUGCAUUGUAAGCAUGUGGUUCAAUGAGUAAAGAAAAGAAUGAUGUUGAAAUGAGACAUCCUACUUGUGACUGUAGACUCUAAGAACCCAGAUCAAAGUAGGCACUGGCUCAAGAUAAGGCAUGAAGUCUGAAAUGGCUGCACAGAAAGGGAGUUCUUCAGUGAAACUUGGACACUUUUGGGAAAGAGAAGACAGCCAACAGAUUCUUCACUAUGAGGGUGGGGAGGCACUGGAACAGGCUGCCCAGAUAAGCUGUGGACGCUCCAUCCCUGGAAGUGUGAAAGGCCAGGCUGGAUGGGGCUUUGAGCAAUCUGGUCUAGUGGAAGGUGUCCCUGCCCACGUAAGAGGACUUGAAACCAGACGAUGCUUGAAGUUCCUUCCAACCCAAACCAUUCUAUGGUUCUGUGAUUCUGUGAAAGAGAAAAUAUUCCAUCUCGAUUUUCCACAUCUUAGUGGAAAAACUACAUCAUUGCAAGAUUAAAUAAAAACAAUUAUAUUAGCUGAAGAGAAUCUAAAGCGCGUCUAUGAAAUUGACUGUGAUUCUGCCUGUGGGAAGAGUUUUGAGAAUAAAUUUUCACUAAUGUCUGGAACAGGCUUAUGAAUUAUAUUCUGCCAUUUGCAGGUACAGAAAGCCAGCUAUGCAAAAGCAUUUGAAAAGGGAGAUGUGACCUAGUUUGUUCUAAUACAAACCAUAGCUGUUCUCUUCUUGUGAAAUCAUGCUUUUUUCCUAGUGUUAGGUAAUUGGGAAAAAGGAUUUUUGCUCUAUCAUUCACAUCAAUGUGCCCUGAAAAACAACUGCCAAGGUGCUGGUUCCUCUGAGUUUUUCUGUCCUCUUGAGGAAGGGUUUUUGGCAACAUCUGUACCAUGACCUGACAAGAUCUAUUAGGCAGCACGCAUGUAGCAGAAUAUAAUUCCGUUCUCCGUUAAACCUCUGACAUUAUGGCAGAAUAGGAAGGAAGUUGCGUCAUGGGACCCAAUGAGAUCAUUAGGUAGCGCAAAGAGCAAUCUGUGAAGGACCGUGAGAAGUGGGUGCAAUUCAGGCCAAUGAGAUGUUUCUCUUCUGGCAUUGUAUUUCCCCAUUGAACACAGCUACCAUAUGGAACCCUUUACAUUUCUGCCUUUGCUACUGGUAACAACCGUGGAUGAAUGUCUCUCACCUGUCAGCAUUUGUUAGUUUGAUCAGUUUACAUGCCCCAGGGGAACUGGCAAGAGAUACUGAUGGGUCAUUCACCCAUCAGCAUUAUCUGCCAGCUAUCCCAGACAUGCUGACGGAUGGAUGGAUGGAUGGAUGGAUGGAUGGAUGGAUGGAUGGAUGGAUGGAUGGAUGGAUGGGUGGAUGGGAGAUACCAGAUGAGAAAUGACAGCUUACUGCUUCGGCAAUGAAAAAAGAUGAGAGCCGGAGAAAGUGGAGACUGAUGGCGGGUUAGGGGAACAGGGAUGGGAACAACAGGGACAAAACCAUUUGAAGCCAUCCUUCCCUGAUUUCCUUUUCCUGUCCUUGCUUUCCUCCAACCCCUAUUUUGUUCUGGUUCUGCACCACUGCAAUCAAGAGGAAUUUUGCAGCAUUAACAGAGCCAGAAUUGAAUCUUUGUCUCUUGCUUUCCAUCUGUUUAAUUUUUGUUUCUUCUCUUUCAGCAUUUCCACACAUUUGUCCAUCGAUCCGCAGUUGCAUAUUUGCUCUAUGCAAAGAGCAUAAAGAAAAUAUCGCUCCUUACUUUAUUCUGGUGGGAGGUUCCAGCUGCUCCCUACCUUCCCAAGGCACAAGACAGAUAAUGUGACUUGACAUGAAGGCAUGCCCAUGUCUUCCCAUCUGUUCUGAGCAGGAGGCUCAAUUGCUCUACUUCAUGACAUGGAAAAAGGGCAGCGAUGCUGUGCACCCGGAGUCGAUGCCUGAAGCCCUGCCAGUAGGGCAGAGUGUUCCACUGACCUCCUUUCUUCACUGAAGGGCAGGGACAAAUAUGCAAGAAUAUGCAUCUUGUCAGCAGCGUCCCCAGCGCAUAUCUUGCUGUGCCUGACUGGUGCACGCUGUCACUGACACGUCUAACUUCAUCUCGUGUCACAGGAGCUGAAGAGGAGGAGCUGGCAGCACAGAUUUCAUAGGAGGCAGAGCAGUGUUUUUCUUUCAGUGUUGAAAGUGUCAAAAAGAAAGACAGUGUGUUUGAUUUUACAGCACCCAAAGUCCGAAAGAUGCUUACAAUGAAGGUUUUCAGUACCAAAUUUAACCCAAGGCAUGUAAGAGUGACCAAAAUUAAGGGGUUUUUUUUGUGUUUCCAAAUUUUUACUAAGCAUUUUUUAAAAUUAAAAUUCACAGAGAAGACAAACCUUUAUUUUCAACCCAAACACUACACAGCAUCAUCCAUUCUGAAAAAAGAAGAGGUAAAAUGAACAAACAAUAUAUACUGAAACCAACAGACAUUUUUAAGGUUAAUAAUCUAAUAUAUUACACUUUCAUUAGGAAAAAGCAUAGGAAGAAAUCAUAGCUCUAACAAAGUAAUUGAUUAACCUUCCACUGAUGUUGGUGAAAAAGAAGAAUGAAUAAUGAUUUGGGUUUUUUUUAAAUAGCAUUUAGAAAGAGGCCUGGACAUUCUAGAAGGGAGAAAUAUUCCUAUUGGAGGGGUGGGAUAAAAUACAACCUUAUAUCUGUGACAGGGCAGAAAUUAGUGUCAUGCUAUGCACAUGAACUUUUAUUGUUCAUUGACUAAAAACAGACAUUUAGCAAGCAGCUAGGGAAGCAAGUCCCUGCCCAUAAUUGUACACUGGGAACCAAAUUUCUGUCUCCCACACAUCACCAGACUUUUCAAGUAACCUGACCAGACAGGUGUGUUGAAUUCACAAGAAAGUACACGAGGGCAGGAUUUUACCCAGCGCUCUCAGCUAGGUUUUCAGGCUGCUUUUCCAUUUCCUUUUUGCUCCAAAUUCAAGCUGGACAUUAGUCAGGCUGGAUGUUUGCCACCUCUGUCUUACCAGAGAUCUGUUUUGACUGUCUCUUAAGCUGUGCUGGAGGCAUGAAAAUCAUCUUCUAUUUCCAGCGUAUUUAUGGCAACACUCUGUGCCCAGAAAGGGGCCGUGGUGACAGAUACUCUUCUGACACUCAGCAAGAAGUAAUUUUAAUUGCCAAUGUUAGGGAUAAAUGCAGAAUAUAUGCACCUAAACAUUAUCCUGCCUGAGAGAUGCUGCUCAGAGCUACAUGAGAUGGCUGACUGUUGCAUAUUUAGAUUCCUGCGCAGUACAUUGCUUUUAACAGGCCCUGCGGUUUAAACUUACCUCAGCUCUGAACAGAGUUGGCUUACAGGCUCUUCCAGUGCUGAAUGGACUGACUUUGUUCUUACAGGCUAAUUUAUCGAUGUUUUAAAUGACCUGUUUGGCUUUACCUGGAUGGGGUCCUAACCCCUGCUAGGACCCUAUCUCUGCCUCCACACCCACCCUGGGUGUCUGAGAGAAGAUCACACGCUGGGAUCAGAGGUGAACAAUUACAGCUAAUGUCCUCGAGGCAGGUGCCGCUACAUCUCCAUCAAGCUGAAAUGUUCCUUGCUGUAGGGGGAAAAAUACAGAAUCAUAGAAUCAAUCAUAUCAAUCAUCUAGGUUGGAAAAGACCUUUGAGUCCAGCCAUAAUAUCAAAUGCAAUUUCACGGAUCAGAUCAGACGUUUGAUCCCUGCCUCUGAUACAAUAUUGCAAUAGUCUUUAAAACUCUUCAUCCUAAUAUUCAGCCCAGUAGAUGAGACUAAGCCAUCUGUGGAAGGAGCUGCUCAAUUUUAAUUACUUUUAACUACAUGACUGUUCACCUUCGCUCCACUGACUGAAGAACAAGGGGCAGGGAGCUCUCUUCCCCAUCUCCUAUCACUUACCAGGAAAAAAUAGUUUAAAAUUACUGUGGAAAUGUUAAUGGUCUUUGCUACCUACAAAUGAAAAGUCAUAUUAAUAGAAAUAAAUGAGCUUAGAUGCAGACUAAGACACCUAUAGACAAGAAACUGAUGAGAAGCAAAAAAGGAGAAAAAAGUAGCAAGAAUAAUUCUUUGUAUUGCUCAGUUACAAUUCCCUACACUCUGGAAGUCUGAUUGAAGAUUUUACUGAAUCCAAAGUGAACCUCUCUGUCAUCUCAGGAGGCAUUUGCUUUAUGGCAGGGAAUUUAACAUCCCUGCAAUCCUAAACUCAGACAUGGGGAGUAGUUCUGUCCUCUGAUAGCUAGUUGGGUGCUAUGCAGCUCAAAUUCCUUAGCUGUCAGGGAAAUAAUGGGUAGAUGGGUUUGUUUACAUUUUUGUUGCUAUUGAUGUUAAUUAUGUGUAUGCCAUCCCUUUUUCACCUCAGGAAACACCCCAGCCCCGACUCAAAUACCUACCUUAAUUUGCUUAUACUGGGGAGAGCCCAGAUUCACAAUCAAGUGAUACCAUAACGAAAACAUAUAGUUGGGACUGUUAUACUUGAAUUAUUUCCUGCAGUGAAAGAGAAGGUAUGGGUGACAUUUUAAAAAGCAUUGUUGAGAAUCCACCAGGAAAAUUCAGUACAGUAUUUAGGGAAGAGGAGUUCAAACUGGAACAGACCCACAAAAGGGUUACUGGGAGGACUGGGGAGUGGUGAACAUUAUCAAACAACAGCAGACUAGAAAAGUUCGGUUUGUUUAGUCUGGCAAAAUGAAGACUGAGGGGAGAUUUGGCUGUUUAUGCUUCCUUUCAGGCCAGUUAAAAGCAUGGUGCUACUCAAGUUCAAGGAAAACACUAGCGCAAGAACAAAUGGGCGUAAACUGUCUUUCAUGCAGCCCUUUUAUUCUGGGCUGCAUUAGGAGGACAGCUGCCAGCAGGUCAAGGGAGGGGAUUCUUCCUCUCUGCUCAGCACUGGUGAGGCCCCAUCUGGAGUGCUGGGUUCAGUUCUGGGCUGCCCAGCAGAAGACAGAGAUGAAUUUACAGGAGUGAGGCCAGUGCAGGGCCACAAAGAUGGUUAAAGGACUAGAGCAUCUCUCCUAUGAAGAAAGGCUGAGAGAGCUGAGGCUGUUCAGCCCAGAGAAGAGAAGGUUCAGGGGAGAUCUUAUCAAUCUGUUUAAAAAACCUGAAGGGAGGGUCCAAAGAAUCUGUAGCCAGGCUCCUUUUCAGUGGUGUCCACUGACAGGACCAGAGGUAACGGGUACAAAUUGGAACACAGGACGUUCUCUCUGAACUUCAGGAAAUACUUUUUGACUGUGAGGGUGACUGAGCACUGGCACAGGUUGCCCAGAGAGGCUGUGGACUCUCCCUCCUUGGAGAUAUUCAAAAGCCAUCAGGACAUGGUCCUGGGCAGCCUGCUCUAAGUGGCCCAGCUUGAGCAGUGGGCUUGGACAAGGAGACCUCCAGAUGUCCCUGCCAACCUCAGCUCUUCUGUGAUUGUGUCUUGGAACACACUCAGGCUGGAAAUAAGUUGACUUCUACCCCUGGAGGAAUGAACAGUCUCCUACACAGAAGACCAGAGGACUAAACCUAGCUAAUUGUAAGAGUGAGCUUGAUUGUAUUAGAAGCCAUGACAGCAGGGAACCUGUCCUGCUGACCCUACCAGACACAGGCUCCUAUAUAGUCUUUAAACAUCAUGGUGAUAAUAGUUUAUGGUAGUGGCAAGGAAAGGAAAAGGAAAGAGUUUUGUACUGUUAAAAAAGUAAGAGCACAAGGUCCCAAAGGAAUUGACAUCACCUACCUCUGCUUAAUAUAACUAUUGAGUUAUGAAAAGGGAUUGAUGUUAAAUUAGUAGAGAUAUAUAAUUUUUUUCCUUGUUUUUUCUUCUCUUUUCCUUCUAUAUAUUAGUAGAAAUCAGAUGCUUCU